GACGUAGGGCGCGAGCGUUGUCCGGAUUUAUUGGGCGUAAAGAGCUCGUAGGCGGCUCGUUGCGUCGGCUGUGAAAACCCGCAGCUCAACUGUGGGCUUGCAGCCGAUACGGGCGGGCUGGAGUUCGGUAGGGGAGACUGGAAUUCCUGGUGUAGCGGUGAAAUGCGCAGAUAUCAGGAGGAACACCGGUGGCGAAGGCGGGUCUCUGGGCCACUACUGACGCUGAGAAGCGAAAGCAUGGGGAGCGAACAGG
rnacentral:rRNA from 1 species